rnacentral:rRNA from 1 species
CUACGUGCCAGCAGCCGCGGUAAUACGUAGGGUGCGAGCGUUAAUCGGAAUUACUGGGCGUAAAGCGAGCGCAGACGGUUACUUAAGCAGGAUGUGAAAUCCCCGGGCUCAACCUGGGAACUGCGUUCUGAACUGGGUGACUAGAGUGUGUCAGAGGGAGGUAGAAUUCCACGUGUAGCAGUGAAAUGCGUAGAGAUGUGGAGGAAUACCGAUGGCGAAGGCAGCCUCCUGGGAUAACACUGACGUUCAUGCUCGAAAGCGUGGGUAGCAAACAGGAUUAGAUACCCUGGUAGUCCACGCCCUAAACGAUGUCGAUUAGCUGUUGGGCAGCUUGACUGCUUAGUAGCGAAGCUAACGCGUGAAAUCGACCGCCUGGGGAGUACGGUCGCAAGAUUAAAACUCAAAGGAAUUGACGGGGACCCGCACAAGCGGUGGAUGAUGUGGAUUAAUUCGAUGCAACGCGAAGAACCUUACCUGGUCUUGACAU